CACCGGGGGGGGGGUGACCCACCGGUGGGGGGUCCGGUCCACACAGGGGGGGGGCGUCAGGCCGGCCCGUCAUGAAGGAACACAAGAAGAUACAGAGAGAGAGAAGAGAGAACAGGAUGGCCCUAAUGCACCACGCCCACAAGGGCUCUGGACCCACUGGGACCCACUGGCUCCUACUGGGACGCGACCCACUGGGACCCACUGGGAGGGUCCCACUGGGAGGGUCCCACUGGGAGGGUUCCAGUGGGACCCACUGGGACCCACUGGGUCCUACUGGGACGCGACCCACUGGGACCCACUGGGAGGGUCCCACUGGGAGGGUCCCACUGGGAGGGUUCCAGUGGGACCCACUGGGACCCACUGGCUCCUACUGGGACGCGACUUACUGGGACCCACUGGGAGGCGGUUGGGGGGGGCAGAAGAGCUGUAUGGGGUCAGAGGUCAACACGGUUCCAGGACGCCCCGGGUCACAGAUCAGACCUGAAGGGACUUCCUAAUCAUUUGAAAUGCGAUCUUCCUCGACCAGACCCUCUGGAGCCGGGAGGAGGCCCGGGACCGCCAUAGGACCCUCAGGGCAGGAGAGAGGGUUGGGUUAGGGUUAGGGUCGGUCCCGGGCCUCCUCCAGACCCUCUGGAGCCUGGAGGAGGCCCGGGACCGCCAUAGGACCCUCAGGGCAGGAGAGAGGGUUGGGUUAGGGUUAGGGCCCGGGACCGCCAUAGGACCCUCAGGGCAGGAGAGAGGGUUGGGUUAGGGUUAGGGUCGGUCCCGGGCCUCCUCCAGACCCUCUGGAGCCUGGAGGAGGCCCGGGACCGUCAGGACCCUCAGGGCAGGAGAGAGGGUUAGGGUUAGGGUUAGGGUCGGUCCCGGGCCUCCUCCAGACCCUCUGGAGCCGGGAUGAGGCCCGGGACCGUCAGGACCCUCAGGGCAGGAGAGAGGAGGUCAAGCGUUGGUUUCCUGGGGUCUGACUCGACAGGUUGGGCUCCUAGAGGGUCCCCAGACCACGGCCCAUCAGCUCUGGCUCUUUUUUACACAUUGGUCUGCGAUGUCUGCUCCUCCUGCUCCAGCUCCUGCUCUUCCUCCACCCUCCUACCUCUCUGCUCCACCCCCUCACGCUGGGACACGCCCACUCCACUACUAAGUAUAUGCAAACAAAAUAAGGACUGUGUGUCAUGAUAUAUAUUAUUACACUCUCACUGGCGUAGUGCUGCAUGUAUGGACCAGACCCAUGUACUAGCCCAGCUCGCCCGCACUGGGAGGAAGAAAACACUGCGUCUCUGUGCUUUGUUUACUGUUUCCAUGACAACUAGCCAUAUUAGCUCCUAGCUCAACGUGUCGCUAGUCACAUUAGCUCCUUAGCUCCUAGCUUCACAUCAUAGCAUUAAUUCUUACUGAUGAGCAGCAGAAACCAACGUGGCAGUUUGACUCGUGACUGUUGAGUCCAUCGUUCAUACUCUCCUCACUGGGAGCACUGGGAUGAGCCGAACCAGCGCAGAGACCAGCGCCCUGCGGUCGUUAGGGCAGUAUGAAGGGAGAGCUCUGCGGCAGCAGGGAGCCUGCUAGCUCCGUAACCCUAACCCUAACCUCUAGCCCAACACGCUUGAUACGCAAAGCACACUCAAAAAGUAUUCAAACAAAUAUAGAGUCACUAAUUCAAUAUCUUCUGAGCACAAAAAAGACCUGUACAGUUCAUGACGUGGACGUUCAUUCAGAGCUCCAGCCCGGUCUCCUGGUCACCUGACCGCCCGGUCUCCUGGUCACCUGACCGCCCGGUCUCCUGGUCACCUGACCGCACGUCCACAGCAGACAGCCGGGCUCAGAGAACAGGAAAGGAACUGGGAGCCCAGCCGUGGCCGUCUGGUCGUACUGCUCCUCCCAGGACCCCACAGCCACUGAACCCAUUGAGGGACGCCAGGGUCCAGGGCCCUAGGUCCAGGGCCCUGGACCUAGGGCCCUGGGCUAGGGGCGAAGAGAAGCCUGCUGUGAGCCAGUAGAGCAGGAGAGACGGGAGGGGAGGAGAUGAAGGUCAGCCUAGAGACUAGCUGCUCACUCGGGACGGUCGUUUCUCCUGGUCCGGGUAGAGAGAGGUGGGGUUGUCCCACUGAAGGUGAACCUGGUCUGGGUAGAGAGCUGGGGGGUUGUCUCUCUGAAGGUGAUGUGGUACCUGGUCCGGGUAGAGAGCUGGGGGGUUGUCUCUCUGAAGGUGAUGUGGUACCUGGUACACAAGUCACUGGACCUGCUCAGCUCCCAAUCUUUCCCUUUUGGACAAUCACGGUUUCAAAAGCUCUUUUGGUUUGAAAAAGACCUUCAAAAAGGCAAACACACCCUCCUACGCACAGACAUUUGUUUUUGUUUCAUGCUUCCAGAGACUGUGUUGAUAAUUACAAAGGACUUCCAUUUAAUGAUUACAAUGUCAUUUGUGUUUUUUUAAGUAGUUACUUUUUUAGGUGAAUAUGUUUUUCUAAUUCAAGCCUUUCUUUGCUGGUGAGGUACACGUUGAAGUACAUCAAAACAGUGAUCACUAGCUACAGUGAUGUACAUUCUGUCUGCUUUAGUCUUGUUUUUAUUGGGGUUGGAUUGUGUGGAAACCAUUAACUGAUUGUUGAAUCUUUUUUUACCAUAUCAGCCUCAUAGAUAACACCGCUCUGUGCCACACACGCACACACACACACACACACACACACAGACCUGCAUAUGUGUAUGUACACACACACACACACACACACGUAUCUCUAACUACAUACAUGCAGUUUGUGUGCAUGCUCAGCUGUAGAGACACAAAAGCUCCAUUCAUGAGACGCUUUGAAUAAUCCAACGCUUGAAACCACUGGCGCCGCCCACAUACACAAGACCCCAGAGGACACGCCCCUCACACACUAGUAUGACAUCACAGGACACGCCCCUCACACACUAGUAUGACAUCACAGGACACGCCCCUCACACACUAAUAUGACAUCACAGGACAUGCCCCUGAGACACUAGUAUGACAUCAAAAGACACGCCCCUCACACACUAAUAUGACAUCACAGGACACGCCCCUGAGACACUAGUAUGACAUCACAGGACACGCCCCUGACACACUAGUAUGACAUCACAGGACACGCUUCUCACACACUAGUAUGCAAGCAGGAGUACAGUACCAUGUACAGCUGGACCAUAUACAGAGUGGACCAUGUACAGAGUGGACCAUGUAGAGAGGACCAUGUACCGCGUUCCCAUGGGGGGUGCAUUCAUGUUUACGCUCUGUGUUGCUCUCAGGAGAAACGCUGCCUCCACGUGUCACAUGUCAUACUUCUGUCACAACAUAUCAUGCUACUUGCCUCUCACGUAUGCUAUGACGCCAUCCCUCUCUUAAACACUGUACCUUCUCCCCCCAUGCCAAAGCGAGUCAUUUGAAGAGAGUCUAUAGACACAUUUCGACAUGGCGAACGCACACAGCUACACAGGUGAGCAGGUGGAGGCUUCCAUUUUGCCGAUGCAAAUAUGUUGAAAGAAAGAUAAUCAACUAAAUGUGAAAAAGGCUGGAUUUACUCAGGAAACAAAAGGAAUCUCAUCUCAUUCCCCUGUGAUCCAAACUGGACCGGUUGUUGCUAUGACACAUGAAACGAGACGACACAACUUUUGGCUUUGUCUUCUUUCAUUUCAGCAUGAACGCGUUGUUCGAACCUCCCGCCAUUGAGGAGGUAGCGGCCACCAGGUGGCAGCAAAGUCUCCUCAUCAAUAAAGAAACUGCAGCAUUAAGAGAACAUUUCAGUUGUAGCAAGAAUACACUUUCUUCCUCCUUCCCCCAACUAAAUGUGUGUUAUCAAAGCAAUAUGGCCACCGAUAUAUCCCACCUCUGCACUGUUGGAGCUUAGUGCUAGGCACUUACUUUGUAUUGCGUUAAAAAGCUAAUGUCAAGAAAAGAAUCUCGCCAGUUUGUCGUAUGAGUUUUGAAUGUUUCAAGACUCCAUGUUCUGUUAUGGCUUUACAUAAUCUCUAGAGCGUUAACGAUGAUAAGCGAUAAACCUUGAUUAAAUGUAGCUUUUGUUAUAUUUCUUUUUCGAAAGGCGGCUAUAAAAUGACAAUGAACUAUAUCAAUAAAAUGUGUAAAAAUAUGAUAUCUUGAAAACAGUGUUUCCUUAUAGUCCAAAGGAUUUGUCCGUCAUUACAACGCAUCGAGAACAAAGCAAGUGUUUCAUGUCUGUCAACAUGACACCACCAACAUCACAGGAAUAUUUUUCUAUUAUGGCACAAGAUUGUGGUUCACUGUAAAAAUACGUUGUGUUCAUCAGUUCAGUUCUCCGCUGCAUUUAGAUUCUUUCAUGGGCUGACUCCCCUCGGAUCACGACUACAGCUCAGCUGUGAAGAUCUGCGCUCAGUUCGGGUUCACUGGAUGAAAGGACUCCUGGUUCUCGUGCUUGUGCUGAAGAACAAGCUAAAUGCAGCUGGAUGGCUUCAGAACCAUGAAUACAUGAAUUGUCCAAACAAUGUAGUUGCUAUGUGUAGAUGUAGAACAAUGGGCGAGGAAGGCUCCCCUGACGACCACAUGUGUUCACAACAUCCUCCAGAGACCAGGAUGGGUUAGGGUCAGGGUCAGGGCUAUGGUAAACCCUAACCCUGACCCUAACCCAUCAGGAGACCGGGAGGUUGAACUGGACCGGGUCCAUGAGGCUCACUGUGUCACCAGGGGGGUGACCCCAUGAGGCCUCUUGCUGUCACCAGGGUGGUGACUAUGAGGCUUCAUGCUUUCACCAGGGGUCAUGGCUGUAAUCCCAAUGAUGGCUGUCAGGUUGAAUGAUGAUGGCUCAGAUGAUUGUCAUGUCCAUGACAUUAGUCAAUAAAUAAAAAAUGCAUUGAUAUAGAGACUUAUUAUUUGUGUGUGUGUGUGUGUGUGUGUGUGUGUGUGUGUGUGUGUGUGUGUGUGUGUGUGUGUGUGUGUGUGUGUGUG
ensembl:lncRNA